rnacentral:lncRNA from 1 species
UAUAUUUGAAAUUGUUUAGGAUAAUGGGAUGGGACAAGAUAUUUAAUAGAAUGGGACUAGGGGUGGGCAUCAGAUCGGAUUCGGAUAGAUCCGAUCUGAACCGAAUAAGUUCGGAUCGGAUUCAGAUUUAGCUUCAAAUCCAAUCAGAUAUAAUUUGUGCAAUCCGAUCGGAUUUGAUUUGGAUCGUAUCAGAUUCGGGUCAAUCCAAAUAAUCCGAUCAGAUUGCACUGUUACUUAAAAAAAAUAAAAGUAGAAAAUCAUAAAAAAAUAAAAACUCAAACCUGAUUCCCAAUUCCCAAAUCAAUAAAACAAAACAACCUAGCCACAACCACAAUGAGCUAACCCACAACCACCAACCACAUCCACCGACUGCGACCUAACGCACACGACGACCCAUGUCGCCGGCGACACAACUCGAACGAAUCCAGCCGCGUCUGAAAAAUACCGUCAUGGGGUUAUGAUAAAUUUUUGUCCCAAAACAAAUAAAGAAUAGGAAUGAGACAUUUUUUUAUUUCAUUUACAUAUACGGACGAGAUUGUGAUGAGAUUUGUCAAUUUC